rnacentral:rRNA from 1 species
UACGAAGGGGGCAAGCGUUGUUCGGAAUUACUGGGCGUAAAGGGCGCGUAGGCGGCUUAUCAAGUCAGGCGUGAAAUUCCCGGGCUCAACCUGGGGGCUGCGCUUGAUACUGAUUGGCUUGAAUGCGGGAGAGGAUAGUGGAAUUCCCAGUGUAGAGGUGAAAUUCGUAGAUAUUGGGAAGAACACCGGUGGCGAAGGCGGCGCUCUGGACCGAGACUGACGCUGAGGCGCGAAAGCGUGGGGAGCAAACAGG